rnacentral:rRNA from 1 species
GACGAGCGCUUUCGGCGUGCUUAACACAUGCAAGUCGAACGGAAAGGCCCUGCUUUUGUGGGGUGCUCGAGUGGCGAACGGGUGAGUAACACGUGAGUAACCUGCCCUUGACUUUGGGAUAACUUCAGGAAACUGGGGCUAAUACCGGAUAGGAGCUCCUGCUGCAUGGUGGGGGUUGGAAAGUUUCGGCGGUUGGGGAUGGACUCGCGGCUUAUCAGCUUGUUGGUGGGGUAGUGGCUUACCAAGGCUUUGACGGGUAGCCGGCCUGAGAGGGUGACCGGCCACAUUGGGACUGAGAUACGGCCCAGACUCCUACGGGAGGCAGCAGUGGGGAAUAUUGCACAAUGGGCGGAAGCCUGAUGCAGCAACGCCGCGUGCGGGAUGACGGCCUUCGGGUUGUAAACCGCUUUCGCCUGUGACGAAGCGUGAGUGACGGUAAUGGGUAAAGAAGCACCGGCUAACUACGUGCCAGCAGCCGCGGUGAUACGUAGGGUGCGAGCGUUGUCCGGAUUUAUUGGGCGUAAAGGGCUCGUAGGUGGUUGAUCGCGUCGGAAGUGUAAUCUUGGGGCUUAACCCUGAGCGUGCUUUCGAUACGGGUUGACUUGAGGAAGGUAGGGGAGAAUGGAAUUCCUGGUGGAGCGGUGGAAUGCGCAGAUAUCAGGAGGAACACCAGUGGCGAAGGCGGUUCUCUGGGCCUUUCCUGACGCUGAGGAGCGAAAGCGUGGGGAGCGAACAGGCUUAGAUACCCUGGUAGUCCACGCUGUAAACGGUGGGUACUAGGUGUGGGGUCCAUUCCACGGGUUCCGUGCCGUAGCUAACGCUUUAAGUACCCCGCCUGGGGAGUACGGCCGCAAGGCUAAAACUCAAAGGAAUUGACGGGGCCCCGCACAAGCGGCGGAGCAUGCGGAUUAAUUCGAUGCAACGCGUAGAACUUUACCUGGGUUUGACAUGGAUCGGGAGUGCUCAGAGAUGGGUGUGCCUCUUUUGGGGUCGGUUCACAGGUGGUGCAUGCCUGUCGUCAGCUCGUGUCGUGAGAUGUUGGGUUAAGUCCCGCAACGAGCGCAACCCUUGUUCACUGUUGCCAGCACGUUAUGGUGGGGACUCAGUGGAGACCGCCGGGGUCAACUCGGAGGAAGGUGGGGAUGACGUCAAGUCCUCAUGCCCCUUAUGUCCAGGGCUUCACGCAUGCUACAAUGGCUGGUACAGAGAGUGGCGAGCCUGUGAGGGUGAGCGAAUCUCGGAAAGCCGGUCUCAGUUCGGAUUGGGGUCUGCAACUCGACCUCAUGAAGUCGGAGUCGCUAGUAAUCAAAGAUCAGCAACGCUGCGGUGAAUACGUUCCCGGGGC